rnacentral:pre_miRNA from 7 species
UUUCGGGGUUCCUGGGUGUCAUUCAGAUCUCACUGGGGCCUCCAAAUGAAAGAACCUAGUGGGGAAACCCCCACUCAAUUCCCGAUUCGGAGUGCACCCAAGAAUUACAAACAGAACA